UACGUAGGGUGCAGGCGUUAAUCGGAAUUACUGGGCGUAAAGCGUGCGCAGGCGGCCUUGCAAGUCGGGCGUGAAAUCCCACGGCUCAACCGUGGAAGUGCACUCGAAACUGCUUGGCUAGAGUCUUGGAGAGGAAGGCGGAAUGCUUGGUGUAGAGGUGAAAUUCGUAGAUAUCAAGCGGAACACCGGUGGCGAAGGCGGC
rnacentral:rRNA from 1 species